UACGUAGGGGGCUAGCGUUGUCCGGAUUUAUUGGGCGUAAAGAGCGUGUAGGCGGCCAUGUAGGUCCGGUGUGAAAACUCGAGGCUUAACCUCGAGAUGUCAUCGGAAACCAUUUGGCUAGAGUCCGGAAGAGGAGAGUGGAAUUCCUGGUGUAGCGGUGAAAUGCGCAGAUAUCAGGAAGAACACCAAUGGCGAAAGCAGCUCUCUGGGACGGUACUGACGCUGAGGAGCGAAAGCGUGGGGAGCGAACAGG
rnacentral:rRNA from 1 species